ACGAACGCUGGCGGCGUGGAUAAGACAUGCAAGUCGAACGAGAGAAUUGCUAGCUUGCUAAUAAUUCUCUAGUGGCGCACGGGUGAGUAACACGUGAGUAACCUGCCCCCGAGAGCGGGAUAGCCCUGGGAAACUGGGAUUAAUACCGCAUAGUAUCGAAAGAUUAAAGCAGCAAUGCGCUUGGGGAUGGGCUCGCGGCCUAUUAGUUAGUUGGUGAGGUAACGGCUCACCAAGGCGAUGACGGGUAGCCGGUCUGAGAGGAUGUCCGGCCACACUGGAACUGAGACACGGUCCAGACACCUACGGGUGGCAGCAGUCGAGAAUCAUUCACAAUGGGGGAAACCCUGAUGGUGCGACGCCGCGUGGGGGAAUGAAGGUCUUCGGAUUGUAAACCCCUGUCAUGUGGGAGCAAAUUAAAAAGAUAGUACCACAAGAGGAAGAGACGGCUAACUCUGUGCCAGCAGCCGCGGUAAUACAGAGGUCUCAAGCGUUGUUCGGAAUCACUGGGCGUAAAGCGUGCGUAGGCUGUUUCGUAAGUCGUGUGUGAAAGGCGCGGGCUCAACCCGCGGACGGCACAUGAUACUGCGAGACUAGAGUAAUGGAGGGGUAACCGGAAUUCUCGGUGUAGCAGUGAAAUGCGUAGAUAUCGAGAGGAACACUCGUGGCGAAGGCGGGUUCCUGGACAUUAACUGACGCUGAGGCACGAAGGCCAGGGGAGCGAAAGGGAUUAGAUACCCCUGUAGUCCUGGCAGUAAACGGUGCACGCUUGGUGUGCGGGGAAUCGACCCCCUGCGUGCCGGAGCUAACGCGUUAAGCGUGCCGCCUGGGGAGUACGGUCGCAAGAUUAAAACUCAAAGAAAUUGACGGGGACCCGCACAAGCGGUGGAGUAUGUGGCUUAAUUCGAUGCAACGCGAAGAACCUUACCUGGGCUUGACAUGUAAUGAACAACAUGUGAAAGCAUGCGACUCUUCGGAGGCGUUACACAGGUGCUGCAUGGCCGUCGUCAGCUCGUGUCGUGAGAUGUUUGGUUAAGUCCAGCAACGAGCGCAACCCCUGUUGCCAGUUACCAGCACGUGAAGGUGGGGACUCUGGCGAGACUGCCCAGAUCAACUGGGAGGAAGGUGGGGACGACGUCAGGUCAGUAUGGCCCUUAUGCCCAGGGCUGCACACGUACUACAAUGCCCAGUACAGAGGGGGCCGAAGCCGCGAGGCGGAGGAAAUCCUAAAAACUGGGCCCAGUUCGGACUGUAGGCUGCAACCCGCCUACACGAAGCCGGAAUCGCUAGUAAUGGCGCAUCAGCUACGGCGCCGUGAAUACGUUCCCGGGUCUUGUACACACCGCCCGUCACAUCAUGGAAGCCGGUCGCACCCGAAGUAUCUGAAGCCAACCGCAAGGAGGCAGGGUCCUAAGGUGAGACUGGUAACUGGGAUG
rnacentral:rRNA from 1 species